CUGCAUUCCAUCAAAAAUAAACUUUCUAUAUUCUAUUCCGACUGGCAAGUUAUGUUGUUUCUCAGGUUUCAUUUUACGGGUGUUUGACAUUAACAACGGCUUUAGUCUGGGCUGCCCAAAUUCUCCCCUUACUGUCUGUCCUCUCCCUUGGAUCCACAUAUUCAAUCAUGUUCAUCUGGAUUCUCGGGACGCUUUAUUGAAAGUCUCACUAUUAUUUUAGUUGCGCUAUGAUGGUUCAUAUUACGCUUGAAAAAAAUCGUAGUUUGUGUUUAUUUCAACUUCAUGCUAAAGUGACAAAAUCCUUCAACAAGAUCUGUUUAUGAAUCUCCCGACAGAAGAAAUUAUGGUUUCCCAUUCUUUAAUGUCAUUGAAG